UACAGAGGGGGCAAGCGUUAUUCGGAAUUAUUGGGCGUAAAGGGCGCGUAGGCGGCUUUGCAAGUGAGGGGUGAAAGCCCUCGGCUUAACCGAGGAACUGCCUGUCAGACUGUAAGGCUUGAGACCGGGAGAGGUGAGUGGAAUUCCCAGUGUAGCGGUGAAAUGCGUAGAUAUCUGGAGGAACACCGGUGGCGAAGGCGGCGUCCUGGACCAAUACUGACGCUGAGGAGCGAAAGCCAGGGGAGCAAACGGG
rnacentral:rRNA from 1 species